AUUUGACUUUUAUUUCUACAGUCUUAAGUCUGGAUUUUUUUUUCAUUAAUUUAUUUGAUUUAAUACAGAAAGAAAAGCGGGAUUGUUGUAUGGAUGACCACAGAAGUUUGGGUUGCCUCAUGACAGGUGAAUCACCAGGAGGAACACUUUUCCUGCUGAGAGGGAUUGCACCCAAGCUCACUUUCAGAAGUACCUUCACUUUCUCUUUGUGGCUUAUCUUUGUUCAGCUGAUGAUCCCCUUAAGGUAUAUCUGAAAUUGGUAAAGUACGUGAUUUUAUCAGUUCACACUGUUUGACAAUCUUAGACUUCUAGUCAGUCUGAAGUGACUUUAUGUUCUUCUUUGCAUAGUGUUGAAAUAUGCCUUUUAAAAAACUCUGCAUUUUAUUUUCUCCCUAUUUCUAGUUUUUCAAGUAGUGAUAGAUCAUUUGUAUUUGAUGACUAUUUACUAUUAUUUACCUUUAUGUUCUAUUUGGUAUAUUUACACUGAUACUAGUAAGGCACUUUUAAUGCAAUUUGAAAUGCAGAAUUUAUGCUAAGGAGACUGCUAUCGUCCAAAUAUUUGUGUUCGCUCCCUCAAAUGCGUAUGUUGAAAUCCUCACCUCCAGAGUGAUAAUAUUAGGAGGUAGAACCUUUGGGAGCUGAUUAGGUCAUGAGUGGUGAGCCCUCAUAAAUGGGAUUAGUGCCCUUAUUAAAAAAAGAGACUCUGCGGGAGCUUGUUUGCCCCUUCUACCAUGUGAGGAUGCAGCGAGAAGGCACAAUCUAUGAGGAAGCAAGCCCUUGCCAGACACUGAGUCUGUAGGUAUCUUGAUCUUGGACCUCUCAACUGUAAGAAAUAAAUUUCUGGUGUUUAUGAACUACCCAGUUUAUAAUAUUGCAUUAUAGCAGGCCAAAAAGACUAAGACAGGAACUAAGAUAGCUCUCUUUGUCUAAAGUGAGCCAUCAAAUAAACGUGAGGCAGGAGAAAAUACUGUGAAGUUUUAAGAAGAAGAGAAAAUUUAAAAAUAAGAGUCAGUGGGAAUUUGGCUCAAACCUACCUAGAUUCAAAUUCCAACUAACUCUUACAGGAAUGCUUGCACCCUGAAGAAAAGAGAAAAUCAGUGAGCUAUAUGGUUUUUCUUUACCAUAAAAUUUCACCUGUUAGGUAUCUCUCCAAUGGAACAAUUUUAUUAGUUAUCUAAUACUUAACAAGAUAUCUUUUGCAAAGAUUACUACCUUAAUCCAACCAUACUAACUUGAUAUGUCUCACCGUUUCGCUGGGUCAGGAAUUUUAAAGAUACUUGACUGGGAAGUUUUGACUCAGGGUACCUCCUGAGGGUGUAGUCAAAUAUUGGCGUGGACUACAGACACCUGAAAAUUUGAUUAAAGCUGAAGGGUUCAUUUUCAGGUCACGCUGCUGCAAAGCUGGCAUAUUAGUGCUAGAUGUUACCAAGAGGCUUUAGUGGCUUUUCAUGAAAGCCUCUCAAUGGGGCUGCUUAAAUGUCCUCACAACAGGCUGGGCUUCCCCCGUAGUAAGCAGUCCUGAAGACCAAAGCAGAAAUUGCAAUGUCUUUUAUUAACUGGAAAUCACACUUCCACAAUAUUUACUGGUCACAGAGAUCAAUCCCACUUCUAUGUGGGAGGGGAUUAGACAAGUUUAUGAACACAAAAAAGCAAUAAUCUCUGGAGUUCAUCUUGUGGGCUGACUUUUACCAUGAUCAUACUUAAAACAGAUUUAGGGAGAGAGAAAGCAGAGACAGAUUUUUCCAGCUGUGAUAGCCCACAUUAUUAAACUACACUAACAGUUUUCUUUCUGUUGUCUGUACUGAUCAUCAGGUUCUAUAGCAUGCAGCCCUGGAGUACCUUAGGUAAUGUUCAAGUACACAUUCAGAUAGACGUGAAGGAAGUAGAAUAUACUGAAAGUACCUUCUUUUUAUUUGCUGCUUCUUUUUUAAGAUAUAUCAAUCUUGCUAAAGUUGACCUAUUCUCAUUUAAAUAUUAAAAAGGAAGAAAAUAAAACAAGUGACAGAAUAGAAUAAUAAUCGUACCACAUUUUCCCAUUUUUCUUCUUUCUCUUAAACUAUCAUUUUCUGUCUUCUGCAAUCUCCUCAAGUCUCUAAGCAUUCUCCUCUUUCCUGACUAAGCUUCUACGUUUGUUAAACUAAGAAACUAAGCCUCUCAAUGUGUUACCAGACUGACUUUUAUAAGAUUAAACUCACUUAUCUACAUCUGUGGCAUAUUUCUCUGCUAUUUUAUUAUUAGGAAAGAGAAAUGUUUUUUAGCUACUAGCUUUCCCUCUUACUCAACAAAAUGACCCCAGCAACUAUUUCCUUUCUUUCCUCAAUAUUCAAGGUUUUUUUUCUUUUUUCAAACUGCCUCAUGACAAUCAGCCUAUAAACAUGCUGUUAAUUUUACCAUUGUAUUUGCUUUUUUCCCAUAUUUGUCUUCAAAUGUUUUCCAUUUAUCUUUUCCCUUUUAAGAAACUUCUUGAGGAGACCUAGCAAGAUGGCCCAAUGGGAACAGCUCCAGUGUGCAGCUCCCAGUGAGAUUGAUGCAGAAGGUUGGUGAUUUUUGCAUUUCCAACUGAGAUACCUGGCUCAUCUCACUGGGACUGGUUAGACAGUGGGUGCAGCCCACAGAGGUCAAGCUGAA
ensembl:lncRNA